GAUAGGGCUGAAACUUAUAUAGUGCUGGAAUUUCCGGUUUGGAAAUGAGUUUUCAAUUAAACUUGAACAGUUGAACUAGAAAGGUAAUGCUUUUGAAGGAAAAAGUCAAUGACUAACUAUUAUCUAACUCAAUAUUUAGGAAUCUAGCAUGUAAAUAGGGUUUUUAAUGGCUUAUACAAUUGAAUAAUCACAAUCAAAUGCUUGCUGGAAUUUUGUGGGAAAAUAUGACAUAUAUGACAUAAGACCUUAGGAAGAGAAAAUCAGAAAAAGAUCAAUAAGAGAGAAGAAAAAAGAGAGUAAAACUAUAUAUAUACAAACUAGGAAUUAAAAAAUCAAAUCACAGAAAAUUAAAGGUAAAGG
rnacentral:lncRNA from 1 species